ACCAGACUCCUACGGGAGGCAGCAGUGGGGGAUAUUGCACAAUGGGGGAAACCCUGAUGCAGCGACGCCGCGUGAGUGAAGACGGCCUUCGGGUUGUAAAGCUCUGUCAAUCGGGACGAGGAAGAUGACGGUACCGAUGAAGGAAGCUCCGGCUAACUACGUGCCAGCAGCCGCGGUAAUACGUAGGGAGCGAGCGUUGUCCGGAUUUACUGGGUGUAAAGGGUGCGCAGGCGGCUCUGCAAGUCAGGCGUGAAAGCUAGGGGCUCAACCCCUAAACUGCGCUUGAAACUGUGGAGCUUGAGUGAAGUAGAGGCAGGCGGAAUUCCCGGUGUAGCGGUGAAAUGCGUAGAGAUCGGGAGGAACACCAGUGGCGAAGGCGGCCUGCUGGGCUUUAACUGACGCUCAGGCACGAAAGCAUGGGUAGCAAACAGGAUUAGAUACCCCCGUAA
rnacentral:rRNA from 1 species